GGCUAGUGCGCCGCCGGCCAUGGCGCGACGGCAGGAGCGCAGCCCCGCCGGCGCCGCGAGGCUCUCCGGGUCGGGGGGGAGGGCUGGGAAGCGAGUCCUCGAGGCAAGGCGGCAGACGAGGGCACUGGCACUGCUGGCUGCUGCUUUUGACGGCGCCUGACCGUUAAACGCCUCUCCUGCCGCCUGGGCGUUACUCCCUUUCCCAGGUUAAGUUGGAAGAGACAUUCUCUGAAGAUGAAGGUAAAUUGUUUCUACUUGAAGACCUGAGAGGAAUUCUGCUUUUUCCUUCUACUGAUUGAGGAUUCCAAUAAGCAGGUCUGUAACUGAGCUAAUGCCAAAGAUAGUCAAAGGCACAAGAGAACUCAACCAAGGCUAAGGAUUUUCUUGCAAACUGUGAAAAGUCAACAUCCUAAACAGUAUUACAAAUGACUUAAUGCUUUGAAUAUGUACCACAUUGAGAAGAAACAUGCCUUUUUUUUAGGAGCUGCACUUUUUUUCCUCCGGAAAGGCACUGGACUGACUAGAAAUGCUAUCUUAGAGAGGCCAGAUUCUGCUUCAUGCCUCCUAGGAUCUUCAGUGGUUUCUUGUUUAGCCCUUUCAUGUUUCAGCAUGGUGGUGAAGCGGGUGUAGGAGGCUGGGCAUCGCCCUUUGCAGGAGCUAAUGAGAUGCCGGUGAUGGUGGUGGUGAUGGCCUGAUCCAUAGAAGCUUUCAGAAGAGGUGAAGGAGAAGUGGUCAAAGUCACUUUCACUACAAAAGGAUGAACCCUCUAUCUGGAUAAAGUCACUGAGAUCAGAAACCACUCCAUCUUGAUCACUGUCUGAAAAAUCCAUAUGCGAUCGCUGUGGCUCAUCACUGGUCACUUCGAUAUGAAUUGGCACGAGAGUUUUAGACUUGCAGUUUCGUUGUACCUGAGAGGGAUGUCUACCUUGAUUUUCUUCCUCCAGCAGGGAUUCUAUAGAAAAUCGCCGCUUUGGACAUAAGCCAUUUUUAGGAGGCUCUAGCGUAACAGUUGACAACAUUUCAUCACCUAGAUUCGGCAUUGAUUUUGACUUCUGAAUUAAUUUUUCAAAUUCAGAUAUCCUGGUUGGCACCAUAUGUCUAGGCACCUCUUCAGUAGAAGACUCUCUCCAGCCUUGAAGAAUACCUUUGUGCUGUUCUUUUUCAUACUGUAAUAUUCUGGACUUCACAGAACAAAUCACCUCAGAAUUCAUCAAGUCCUUGCGAUUGAUGCGGUGCAUCUUUUUAUACAUUUUUAGGAAACCCGGAGCAUCAUGUGCAGAUCUGUGACGAACUCUUGACCUACUAUUACCAUGGCCCUCAGGAACAUAUGGGGAGGCCCAGUUCAUUGAGCAAAUGUCUUUGGAGUCCUCCUCACAUAAAAGAGAGCCCAUGCUUUCAGACUUGGCCUGUGCAUCAGGAAAGCUAUCACGGCCAUCUGUUAACAGAUCGUCACAGCUGCGAGAUUUUCUCUUGGGAGAAGCAGUUUCUUCUGUGCUGCUCCAGACUUCUGCAUUUUGACGAGUCAUUUGCCAGCCAUUCUUGUAGCUGACUGCCCUUCUUGAAUCGCUUGGAACAGCUAAAUGUUGUCUGUAAGUGCUACAGUAAUCUAAUUCAUUUGAGGUGUUGUGAUUGUGCACUGAAUAACUGAAAAGGGAUGGAUAUACUUUGCUAAUAUCCCCACCUUUAUAAUCCAUAGAGCAGCAUGGUAAAAAAAGAGACAUUGCCAGAAAUUAAAAGGUUCAGAAAGUUGGAAAUUAUAUCAGUAAAUAUUAGAAAGACUAGAAGAGACAGUGAUUAAUGCAUCUACUUAUCAAUUUAGGCCACUACACAUAGCUUGCUACAGACUGGGAGAGAAGAGUUAAUAAUCAAGCUAUUUAAAUUUUCCAGCUUUAGAAAUGUACUCAUGAUAAUCUGAACAUCAGAAAGAACUCAUAAUAGAUUAUGGAAAUGUUAAAUCAGUAAAAAAAAUGAAAAAAGUCUGUAAGGAAACAACCACCGAUUUUGAAGCAGGUCAAAAGACAGUCAAAGCUGCUAAAGAUUUAGAGAUGAAGCCAAAUCAUGGACCUAGACUUCAGUACACCGUAAUUUUGAGAUAAACUAAAAUUGGAGAGAGACUCAAGUUUGCAUCAAGACCAUCUCUGGAGAAAGAGCUAUGAUUUAUUAUGUCUGCACAGAACUUAGUUCUUUGGAGCUUAAUUCAGAGGUGAAAGUAUAUGCUAAUUAUGGAAAAUGUCAAAAAUAGAAAAAAUAUACAACUUUGCUUGAUAAAAAGUUUAAAUCAAAUUGAAACAUGAGCAUUAGGGAAUUAUUUCCAUGUAAAUUUUAAAAUGUGUGUCAAAUAUUGAUCUUUACACUUGUGCAUUUAGAAAGAAGCUGUGCAGAACUUUUGAGGUGAAUAAUGUUCAAACAGUUCGCAGCGAUUGCACAUUCAGUUAAGACAAUGAAGAUAAAUCUUUAAAUAUGAUCAAAUACGAAAUUUCUCCCAGCUGUUGAUAUGCAGCAGGAAUAUACAUUUGGAACAGCAAAGGGAUUAGGAAAGCACAUUAAAACACCAUAAACCAUCCUACAGUUCUCUUGAAACACUUUUGUUAGUUUUCUAUAGUUUCCUCCAGAAAGCCUACCAGUCCCAGAUAUUUACACCAAUAACCUGCUUAUCUGUUUUGUAAAGCUUGCCAUGAGUCUUUGCUGGAACCUGUCAUACUCUCUAGUUAGUACAGCAAUUCAAAUAGUCUUUUCAUUGUAUUUUAGUUUCUAGAUUUUUAGAUUUUUUUUAGCUUUUUAAGAUUUUAAAAGAUUUUUUGAUUUUUUGUUUCAGAUUCUAGAUUUUUUAGAUCUAGAUUUUCUGUUUCAGACCAAUCUCUAAUCUAAUUCAAUUCAGCAUUGAUCAAUACCUAAAAAAACCCCAAACAUAAUGUGCUUCUUGUUUAAAAGAAUGGUUGCAAGAAACAAUAGUAUUCUAGUAGGUGUCAUCACGUUAUGAGAGAAUGGAGCGAUACAGCUAGGUCACCUUCCAGAAGUUCAUUAGCUGUCGUAGAUGUUGUUAACGGAAGGACUUCUCAAACACAGGAAGUUUAAGUCAUGGUUAGUGCUCCUUACCAGUGGUGUAGUCAAAGGUAAAUGCAGGUAAAUGUAAUUUACCAACUUUUCCCUACCUUACCUGGUACACCAAAUAGAUGAGUUUACCCACUUUUUAAUUUACCACUAAAUCACUGGGUUUAAAAUACAUUUGCUUCUCCAUCACUUCACUCUUAAUAUUCCUCAUUUUUUUCCUUUGUUUGAUGCAUGCUGUUGCAGCCUAAAUAUUAAAUUGCUCUGAGAAGGGAUUGUCUUUUACAAAGAUUAAGACAGUCCCUAAUACAGCCGUAGGCUGACCAGGAAGUGUAGCUACAAAAUACAGCAAGUAAAUGAAUAAUAAUAAAAGGUAAGGAGAGCCAUUACAAUAGAUAUUACUCUGUAUAUUGCUUCCACCAUGUAUUUUCCCAGAAACCUUUUCUAUUGGUUAAAAAAAAAAAAAAAAAAAAACCCAAAACCAACCAACCAAAAAAACCCCCCUGAUUUGAACAUCUCUUUUCUGGAGAGACAUGGAGGACAGUAAUGGAAAGAUAGGUAAUUCAAAAAAGGAAACUAAUUAGAUUGCAUAUGAUGCACUAAAUACUUCAAGGAAUUACAAACCUCAAAAUCUUACUGUCAGACUAUGGACAUUUGCUUGCUUAAAUUAGG